GACGAACGCUGGCGGCGUGCUUAACACAUGCAAGUCGAACGGAAAGGCCCUGCUUUUGUGGGGUGCUCGAGUGGCGAACGGGUGAGUAACGCGUGAGUAACCUGCCCUUGACUUUGGGAUAACUUCAGGAAACUGGGGCUAAUACCGGAUAGGAGCUCCUGCUGCAUGGUGGGGGUUGGAAAGUUUCGGCGGUUGGGGAUGGACUCGCGGCUUAUCAGCUUGUUGGUGGGGUAGUGGCUUACCAAGGCUUUGACGGGUAGCCGGCCUGGGAGGGUGACCGGCCACAUUGGGACUGAGAUGCGGCCCAGACUCCUACGGGAGGCAGCAGUGGGGAAUAUUGCACAAUGGGCGGAAGCCUGAUGCAGCAACGCCGCGUGCGGGAUGACGGCCUUCGGGUUGUAAACCGCUUUCGCCUGUGACGAAGCGUGAGUGACGGUAAUGGGUAAAGAAGCACCGGCUAACUACGUG
rnacentral:rRNA from 1 species